GACGAACGCUGGCGGCGUGCUUAACACAUGCAAGUCGAGCGGUAAGGCCCUUUCGGGGGUACGACGAGCGGCGAACGGGUGAGUAACACGUGGGUGACCUGCCCUUAGCUCUGGGAUAAGCCUGGGAAACUGGGUCUAAUACCGGAUAUGACUCCAUGACGCAUGUUGUGGGGUGGAAAGCCUUGUGCGGCUAGGGAUGGGCCCGCGGCCUAUCAGCUUGUUGGUGGGGUGAUGGCCUACCAAGGCGACGACGGGUAGCCGGCCUGAGAGGGCGACCGGCCACACUGGGACUGAGACACGGCCCAGACUCCUACGGGAGGCAGCAGUGGGGAAUCUUGCGCAAUGGGCGAAAGCCUGACGCAGCGACGCCGCGUGAGGGAUGACGGCCUGGU
rnacentral:rRNA from 1 species